ensembl:lncRNA
AAUCCAUCACAGCACGAAGUGAGGUGAAGCUCCUUCUCUGGAAGAGACCUGGCCUCCUGAAGACUAUGGCUCUGCUGCUCCUGAUGCUGGUGGCAGUUCCAGAGAUGCUGAGUGUGUGCACUUUAGAGAAAGUUCAGAUGCUGGCUUGUCUGAAGCUCUCCUCAACCCUCAUGUCCCCUGCAGGUCCCCCUGGAGCAUCUGGAACCAUGGAAGAGAAGGGAAUGGAAAAUUCCCUGGGGUGGUGCGUCUGCUACCAACUGCUCAACACCUCAGAGCCCCUACCAUGCAGGCUAGAGGGGCCUAACUGUCCUGGGAGCCUCGACAUCUGGGACAAGACCACAGCUGGCAGGGUAAAGAACUGUACACACAAUGCUAAGGCUCGGGACUUCCAAACCAUCAAUGCUUCACUGAAGAGUGACAUCCCAGCUUGUGGGGGAGACAAUACCACCAUGAGUCCAGUGGUUAGUGGAAGGAUCAGCUUUAUCAUAGUUAUCACCAUCCUGACCUCUUCUGUCGGGCUUUUCAAGAAACAGAAGAGAUGGGACAACUUUCUCUUCAAGUCCAAGGCUGUACAUUACCAACCUGAUGCAAUAUAUUCCAAUGUGAUCAACCUGGUUGCCCAGAAGGAAGAUGAUUUUGCCAUUUAUGCCAAUAUACCACGUUUCCAGUGUCCCAGGAAAACCUCACCUGUUGUCACCUAUGCUCCUGACCAAAUGGAACAUCCUUCCAGUGUAUUCCUCUGAUGGAGGACCCGAAGACUAUUCUGGAAUGAGAGAAAGCAGAGAUGAGAGGUGGUGGACUGCAAAGAAGGUGGUGGAAGAAGGUUGCCAAGCUUAGCAUGAUGAGAUUUAUGUAUUUUUUAAAAACUGACCACCAGUCCUCAUGUUUAUAGGGACAGAGAUGAGAGCAUGAAUUUUUUUUAAGUGUCUAGGAAAUACAGGGAAUAUUUAUAUAUUUAAAUGUCCUUUAAAUAGGACAGACACCUCAAGUCUAACAGAGUUAUCAGUAGUAUGUGAGAGGAGUGGGGAUAUGGGCACACGCCACUCAUGCAGCUCUAAAAUGUCCAAGCAAAAUGUCAUUUUUGUAUCAAGUUGGAAGUAAAAAAUCAGGGACCAGAUAGCUGAUGUGAUUGUCGUCCCAGGUGAGGAACUGGGACCGUAAGAAGCAGCAGAGUGCAGUGGGAAAAAUGCUAGAUUUAGAAUCAGUCUUCAAAUCCUCAGGCACUCCUGUGACUUCAGUCACUUCACCUUUCUGGGUCUCAGUUUCCUCAUCUGUAAAAUGAAGGCAUUAAACUAGAUCUGGGGUUCUUAACCUUUGUGUGUAUGUCAUGGAUCACUUCAGUCAGUCUGGUGAAGCCAAUGGACCCCAUCUCAGAAUGAUGGUUUUAAACACAUAAAAUAUUUUAGAUAUAUAAAAUAAAAUACUUGGGAUUACAAAGGAAACUAAUGAU